rnacentral:ncRNA from 1 species
UGGUCUACAAGGUUCAUAACUACUCCGCAUAUCAAUAAGUGGAGGAAAAGAAACUUACAAGGAUUCUGUUAGUAACGGCGAGUCAACCGGGAACAACCUAAACUUAGAAUCGGGCGGCUCCGUCGUCUAAAUUGUAGUCUGGACAAGCGUCCUCUGCGGCAGACCGGGCCCAUGUCCCCUGCAAGGGGGCGCCAGAGAAGGUGAGAUCCCCAUUGUGCCUGGACCCUGUCGCACCACGAGGCACUGUCUACAACUCGAGUUGUUUGGGAAUGCAGCCCAAAUCGGGGGGUGAAUUUCGUCCAAGGCUAAAUACGGGCGAGAGACGGAUAGCGAACAAGUACUGCGAGGGAAAGAUGAAAAGGACUUUGAAAAGAGACUCAAAGAGUGCUUGAAAUUGUCGGGAGGGAAGCGGAUGGGGGACGGCGAUGUGUCCCGGUCGGAUGUGGAACGGUGAAGAGCUUGUCUGCCGAUCGACUCGGGGCGUGGACCAGCUUGGAUUGGGAGGGAGACCAAAGCCCGGGCUCUCGAUACCCCCUUGGAACGCGGUCUCCUUGAUUAUGGUAUGCAGCGCACGCCUCUGGCGUGCUUUGGCAUCUACGCACUCUGGACGCUGGCCUGUGGGGUCACGAUUCGACCCGUCUUGGAACACGGACCAAGGAGUCUGACAUGUGUGCGAUUCAACGGGCGAGUAAACCCGUAAGGCGUAAGGAAGCUAAUUGUUGGGAUCCACCUGAGGGGUGCACCGUCGACCAACCUUGAUCUUCUGAGAAGGGUUCGAGUGUGAGCAUACUGUCGGGACUCGAAAGAUGGUGAAUUAUGCCUGAGCGGGGCGAAGCCAGAGGAAACUCUGGGGGAGGCCCGCAGCGAUACUGAUGUGCAAAUCGUUCGUCUGACUUUGGUAUAGGGGCGAAGACUAAUCGAACCGUCGAGUAGUUAGUUCCCUCAGAAGUUUCCCUCAGAAUAGCUGGAGCUCGCGUGCGAGUUAUAUCGGGUAAAGCCAAUGAUUAGAAGCCUCGGGGGCGCAACGCCCUCGACCUACUCUUAAACUUUAAAUAGGUAGGACAACGCGACUACUUUGUUGAGCCGCGCCACGGAAACAAGAGCUCUAAUUGGGCCAUUUUUGGUAAGCAGAACUGGCGAUGCGGGAUGAACCGGAAGCCGGGUUACGGUGCCAAAUUGCGCGCUAACUCAGAUUCCACAAAGGGUGUUGGUCGAUUAAGACAGCUGGACGGUGGUCAUGGAAAUCGAAAUCCGCUAAAGAGUGUGUAACCACUCACCUGCCGAAUCAACUAGCCCCGAAAAUGGGUGGCGCUUAAGCGCGCGACCUACACCCGACAGUCGGGGAAAGUGCCAGGCCCCGAUGGUUAGGAGGGUGCGGCGGUCACUGCAAAACCUUGGGCAAAGCGGCCGUCGGGGCAGAUCUUGGUGGUAGUAGCAAAUAUUCAACUGAGAACUUUGAAGGCCGAAGAGGGGAAAGGCCGACGU